AGAGUUUGAUCCUGGCUCAGGACGAACGCUGGCGGCGUGCCUAACACAUGCAAGUCGAACGAAGCAUUAAGAGCUUGCUUUUGAUGCUUAGUGGCGGACGGGUGAGUAACGCGUGAGCAACCUGCCUUUCAGAGGGGGAUAACGUUUGGAAACGAACGCUAAUACCGCAUAACAUAUUCGAAUCACAUGGUUUGAAUAUCAAAGGAGCAAUCCACUGAAAGAUGGGCUCGCGUCCGAUUAGCUAGUUGGUGAGAUAACAGCCCACCAAGGCGACGAUCGGUAGCCGGACUGAGAGGUCGAACGGCCACAUUGGGACUGAGACACGGCCCAGACUCCUACGGGAGGCAGCAGUGGGGGAUAUUGCACAAUGGAGGAAACUCUGAUGCAGCAACGCCGCGUGAGGGAAGAAGGAUUUCGGUUUGUAAACCUCUGUCAUUGGUGACGAUAAUGACGGUAGCCAAUGAGGAAGCUCCGGCUAACUACGUGCCAGCAGCCGCGGUAAUACGUAGGGAGCGAGCGUUGUCCGGAAUUACUGGGUGUAAAGGGUGCGUAGGCGGGGGACCAAGUCAGGUGUGAAAACUAUCGGCUCAACCGAUAGCCUGCAUUUGAAACUGGUUCUCUUGAGUGAAGUAGAGGCAGGCGGAAUUCCCGGUGUAGCGGUGAAAUGCGUAGAGAUCGGGAGGAACACCAGUGGCGAAGGCGGUCUGCUGGGCUUUAACUGACGCUGAGGCACGAAAGCAUGGGUAGCAAACAGGAUUAGAUACCCUGGUAGUCCAUGCCGUAAACGAUGAUUACUAGGUGUGGGUGGUCUGACCCCAUCCGUGCCGGAGUUAACACAAUAAGUAAUCCACCUGGGGAGUACGGCCGCAAGGUUGAAACUCAAAGGAAUUGACGGGGGCCCGCACAAGCAGUGGAGUAUGUGGUUUAAUUCGAAGCAACGCGAAGAACCUUACCAGGUCUUGACAUCCCAAGAAAGCUUAAGAGAUUAGGCUGUGCCCUUCGGGGAACUUGGAGACAGGUGGUGCAUGGUUGUCGUCAGCUCGUGUCGUGAGAUGUUGGGUUAAGUCCCGCAACGAGCGCAACCCUUGUCAUUAGUUGCUACGCAAGAGCACUCUAAUGAGACCGCCGUUGACAAAACGGAGGAAGAUGGGGACGACGUCAAAUCAUCAUGCCCCUUAUGACCUGGGCCACACACGUACUACAAUGGCCGUUAACAGAGGGAAGCAAAGCCGCGAGGUGGAGCAAACCCCUAAAAACGGUCUCAGUUCGGAUUGCAGGCUGAAACUCGCCUGUAUGAAGUCGGAAUUGCUAGUAAUCGCGGAUCAGCAUGCCGCGGUGAAUACGUUCCCGGGCCUUGUACACACCGCCCGUCACACCAUGGGAGCCGGUAAUACCCGAAGUCAAUUGUCUAACCGCAAGGGGGACGUUGCCGAAGGUAGGAUUGGCGACUGGGGUGAAGUCGUAACAAGGUAACC
rnacentral:rRNA from 1 species